AUCUGCGUACCACGGAUAUAUGUGUACUUUUGUCAGGGACAAGGGACAUUUUACCAAAGCUCCUGGAAACCUCAUCAGCCAGAAUGUUUAGCUUGGCCCUCCGACAAGCUGGCCGCUCUCUGUCAUAGGUAUGUGUUAAAGCCCACAAGGCUCACCAGCUCCUUGCUUCCCACACUUUCCGAGCCUCAUCCCCGGGAUACGUCCACAGAGAUGGCAGGACUUUCAAGACAAAGUGCUGUAUUCCUAGUUGUAUUUGUGUGUUUCUUAACCAUGUGAUGUUUCUAAAACCAGCUUUUGUUUUUGUUUUUUAAUCUUGUUUUUUUUUUUUUUUUUUUGGUACCAGCGAUCGAACUCGGGUCCUUCCGCUUGCGAGGCAGGCGGCGGAACCACUGAGCUAAAUCCCCAGCCCUAUCAGGUUUUGUUUUUUGCCAUACUAGUGACUGAACUCAGGCCUUCACAUUGAAUUAUAUCCCCAGCCCCCUGCCCUUUUUUUGGGUACCGGGGAUCAAACUCGGAACCUUGUGCUUUCGAAGCAGGCGGUGGAACUGCUGAGCUAAAUCCCUGGCCCCCAGCCCCCUUUUUUGAGACAGUCUCCCUACAUUGCCUAGGCUGGGCUUGAGUUUGUAAUCUUCCUGCCUCAGCCUCCCAGAGGCCUGGGAUUACAGGCUCUGCCCACUUUAUUGAUUAUGGUACUCAGGCCCAUACUUUCAUAGCCCUGUGGUUUUGACUCUGCUUUUGCACAGCAUAGUAGGGCAUGUUUUGGGUGUACACAGAGGGAUUGUUGAUAGUAGGCGUGGUGAGUGGACAGCCCGAGCCAGAGGGGAGGAGCUGCACUGAGUUCAUGCAACACCGACAUGGAUGACUUGGCCUUAAGCGCUGUGGCUUUUGUCGCAGAGGAAGCAGCAGCUGACUGGACCUAACGUCAGCGCUGAGAGGAGGGGCUCCUUGGACUGGAGCUGGGGCCGCUCCUGGGACUCCUCAGAGUGCGUCCUGUGUCAAAAACAGGCGUCUGCACUUCAGGAGGCUUCAGGGUCAGCACUGGCCCAAAGCAGGCUCACAGAGGAGCCCUAGGUUUGCUGGUCUUGACUGGAGAUGGGAUGAAGUGCUGGACUUUUGUUCCCACAUGGAGCCCUGUGUUUACGCGAAGUCAGCAAAAGCCUGUGUUCUUCAGUACUUCCUUAACAGAAACUAUAUUCAGAAACAUUCAGACUGCAUUAAAACAGAC
rnacentral:lncRNA from 1 species